AAGCAGGUUUCUGUUCCCACAUGGAAUACACGGUUUUCCUAAAUCCUUAAACAGACAAACAGAAAAGUGUAUUCAAUUAUGAUUUUAAACAUAUUUUCUGUUAGCACUGGGGCUCAGGGGUUUGGGGUUCCUUUAAUUUUAAAGACAAUGACUCAGGGUGGUAGAAAGAGCUGGGGAUCUGCUGCAGGUGAGCUGUGGGGUGGCGGGGUCCACUCCAGUCUGCGUGAGUGUGGGGCCCCAGGGUGUGGGCGUGGAGGUAGAUGUAAGGGUGGGUGUAAGUGUGGGUGGGUGUGAGUGUGGGCGUGGAGGUAGAUGUAAGCGUGGGUGUAAGUGUGGGUGUGGAGGUAGAUGUAAGCGUGGGUGUAAGCGCGGGUGUGGAGGUAGAUGUAAGGGUGGGUGUAAGUGUGGGUGGGUGUAAGCGCGGGUGUGGAGGUAGAUUAAGUGUGGGUGUGGUCAUGGGUGUGGUGUGGGUGUUGGUGCGGGCGUGGGUGCAUGCGCCACUGUGAAUACAAUGGCACACAGUCUCACUCAGCCUCUCCGAAGACCCUCUUACUCCCAGCAGCAGGGUUUGUGCCGGUUUUGCUUGCUUUUCAGAGUAACUAUGGAAAAGAAAGCAUGAUGUCCUCUGGAGUUCUACAGAACAGAGCCCUCAGGUCAGGGCAUGCCCUGUGUCAG
rnacentral:lncRNA from 1 species